ACAAGUGUGGGUUCGUUACUGGUUGUUCCUGCGGGGUUCUUGUAGAUGAACUAGUAAUGUACUAUAUGAACUUCUUCCACAUUGCUGAUAUGAAAUGGGAACGGCAUUUGCAAUGCUCAAUUGAACUUUCUAUGGUAAUGCUAGUUGUUCAUGUUCCUCAUUUUGUCUUGCUGCAGUCCACAUUGUAGCUAUGCUCUUAAGUAAAAAGUCUUGAUGUGUUUUGCCUGGUAGUAGGUUAGUUAUCCACUUUUUAACUUGCGUGUGAUGUUUUGUGUUAUAUUUGCAUGAAAAAAAGUCAACCAUGGAGUCCAUGACAAGUGCUGCUCUAAGUAUUGGGUCAACUACGGCAAUGGGAGUUGAAGAUGAUGCCAACAGCUUUGCCAUGGGCACGAUCCAGCAGGUCGAAAACGAUGAAAAUAGCUACCACACGCCAACACGAACUAGCAGUCUUCCAUUUUGUGUAAGUAUUUUUUUCCCACAUCCAAUGCACGAGUUAUAGUUUAUGAACUGAACAUCUUUUAUUUUUCAUAUCCAGGGGUCAAGAUAUGAGCCCGAGUGUGACCCUAACUUACAGCCCGUAAUUGGUAUGCAAUUUGACACUUGGGAGGAAGGUAUGCCAUUCUACAAAAUGUAUGCUCAUGAAGUCGGGUUCUCAGUUCGCACAUGGACGACACACAAAGAUGAACAUGGCGUAGUAUGGAAGAGGUUUGUUUGUGCUAGGGAGGGUUGGAGAAAGGUGGCCCCAGAAGAGGAAAGGAUAAAGCCUAAACGAAAAUUCAAAUUAACCAGGUGUGGUUGUGAGGCUAUGAUUGGAUUGAAGAGGCAGGAUGAUGGCAAAUAUAAGGUUGCCCGGUUUGUUCAAUCACACACUCACCAACUUAUUUCGCCAAGUAAAAGACAUCCCAUCAAGUCAAAUAGAGAAGUAAGUAGUGAGUUGCGGAGCAAACUACUUACAUGUCAUAAGGCAAUGGUUGGCACAUCUGCAGCAUAUCGCUUGCUUAGUGUUGAGAAGGGGGGGUCCCGAAAAUGUGGGCUGCACAAAGCGUGACUUCCAAAACUCUCACCGUGAUUUUAAAAGAGCAAUUAAGGGAGUAGAUGGACAUAUCAUAGUAGAUAUAAUGAAAAGUAAGCAGGCUGCCAAUCCAGCAUUCUACUUUGAUUACCAAGUCGAUGAGAAUGACAAACUUACAAAUAUUUUCUGGGCGGAUAGCAUAUGCAGAAAGAACUACUCAUUGUUUGGUGAAGUUGUGUCUUUUGACUCGACAUAUCGAUUUAAUAGGUAUAACUUGGUAUUUGCCCCUUUCACAGGAGUUAACAACCACAGAUCUUGUGUCACGUUCGGUGCUGCUUUUUUAUGGAAUGAGAAGAAAGAAUCUUAUAUAUGGUUGUUCAAGACUUUCUUGAAAGCAAUUCUGGGAUUGCGCCUAAGCUCAUCAUGACCGAUGAAGACCAAAGCAUGAGAAUAAGGAUAGAACAAGUUUUUCCAAACACUAUGCACAGGCUUUGUAUGUGGCACAUCCUCAUGAAGCUUACUGAAAAGGUUGGUACCACCAUGAAAAAUAAUCCAGAUUUUCAUGAACGGUUCAUGUCAUGUGUUUGGGGAUCAGAGACACCAAGUGAGUUUGAGUCACAAUGGUGUUCAAUAAUCUCUGACUUUGGGCUAGCAGAUAAUACAUGGUUGCAGGAGAAGUAUGAGUCACGCAACUCAUGGAUUCCGGCAUAUUUUAUGGAGACCCACCUUGGCGGAAUCUUGCGUACUACAUCAAGAUCUGAGAGCGAGAAUGCAUUCUUCAGACACUUCGCCAACCGAAAUCUUGCAUUGAUUGAGUUUUGGGUUAGGUUUGAAACAGCUUUAGAGGAACAACGACAAAAAGAAUUGCAAGAAGACAAUGCCAGCCUUCAUACACUGCCUAUGCUCAAGACUUGUUGGAGUAUUGAGAGUCAUGGUAGAGAUGUGUAUACUCAUGAGGUUUUUGCUGAAUUUCAAUGUCAGGUGGUGGCUGCAAGGGAUUAUUGUCAUGUUAAAUCAAUUGUCCAGGAUGUUCGAAUCACUGGGUAUCAUCUGCCGUCACAUCAUUGUUGUCCUAAGGAAUGAGGGGUGUGAUGAAAUUCCUAGUCAAUAUGUGUUGCAUAGGUGGACUAAAAUGGCAGCACGUCAACUUUCCUAUGACGCCAACGGACAUGAGCUAGAAGGCCCAUCUACAUGUCUCUCACCUACCAUAAAAAAGUUGUACUCAGAAACAUGUUCAAAAUUCAGCUUGGCACUUCAUGCAUCGAAGCAUUGUGAGGAGAAAAUGAGAUAUUUUCACAAGGUUGUUGGUGAUGCCUUCACGCAAUUGGAACAGAUGGGUGCCAUUAGUGAGCAAAGUAAAGUUCAAGAUUUUGAAUCCUUCGUCGGAACAUCAUUCCCAAGUGUGAUCAGUAUUCAUCCACCAGAUGUAGCAAACACAAAAGGGAGUGUUAAGAGAUUGAAAAGGGGUUCAGAGCAGACAGUUAACCAAAAGAAAAAGAGCAUCCAAAAGGUUCCAGAUUAGUAAGGGCGGUGGUUUCACUAAUUUGAUGUUGGAAUAAUUAUGUGAAGUCAUGCAGCUGGCUACGUUCUUGCUGGAAAUGGCGGUGAUAUUCAUAGGCGAUGAGGUUUUUGACCUUUUGGUCUUUUCUAGGAGCUCACAUUUGCAGUGUGUGUCACUGAAGCAUGCAUAUGUUCUAUGUCCGUAACUCUGGAUGUGGUCACUGUUAGCUUCAGGAAGUUGCUAACACUAAACCAUGUUGUCUCAUUAGCCGUGUUUAACCUGGAAGAAAAGAUUGUAUGACCUGGCAAGGAAUUGCUAAGCCUAGCUUAAUGUAGGUUUGAAGAUUUGGUUUGUCUUUCUGUGUUACUGUCAGUUGUAGCCAGCUUUGCUAUAUGUCGUGCUGAUGUCACCACUUUCCGAAUUAGUGCAACCUUAUUACUAUGUGUUUUGAGCACCGUUCAUUCAUUUUC